AACCAGCCUUAAGUCGAGUGACCUGCGGAGGAUCAUUAUCGAAUUGGGGCUUGCGCGUCGUCUUCGGGCGGCGUGUGGGCACCGAUCCCUUACAACCCUGUCUAUGAGUACCUUCUUGUUCGCUUCUUCGGCGGGGAGACCCGCCGAUGGAGGCCCUUCUUAACCCUUUUGCAUCAGCAUCAAACUUCUGAUACAACCUAAUAAAUUUACAACUUUCAACAAUGGAUCUCUUGGUUCUGGCAUCGAUGAAGAACGCAGCGAAAUGCGAUAAGUAGUGUGAAUUGCAGAAUUCAGUGAAUCAUCGAAUCUUUGAACGCACAUUGCGCCCCUUGGUAUUCCAUGGGGCAUGCCUGUUCGAGCGUCAUUUACACCCUCAAGCUCUGCUUGGUGUUGGGCGUCUGUCCCGCUUCGUGCGCGGACUCGCCCCAAAGUCAUUGGCAGCGGUCGUGCCGGUUUCUCGCGCAGCACAUUGCGCUUCUCGAAGCCCGGUGGAUCAGCGUCCAGCAAGCUCCCCCCUCUUUUGACCUCGGAUCAGGUAGGGAUACCCGCUGAACUUAAGCAUAUCAAAAGG
rnacentral:rRNA from 1 species